rnacentral:rRNA from 1 species
GACGAACGCUGGCGGCGUGCUUAACACAUGCAAGUCGAACGGAAAGGCCCUGCUUUUGUGGGGUGCUCGAGUGGCGAACGGGUGAGUAACACGUGAGUAACCUGCCCUUGACUUUGGGAUAACUUCAGGAAACUGGGGCUAAUACCGGAUAGUAGCUCCUGCUGCAUGGUGGGGGUUGGUAAGUUUCGGCGGUUGGGGAUGGACUCGCGGCUUAUCAGCUUGUUUGUGGGGUAGUGGCUUACCAAGGCUUUGACGGGUAGCCGGCCUGAGAGGGUGACCAGCCACAUUGGUCCUGAGAUACGGCGCAGUCUCCUAAUUGGGGCAGCAGUGGGGAAUAUUGUACAAUGGGCGGAAGCCUGAUGAAGCGACGCUGCGUGGGGGAUGACGUUCUUCGGGUUAAAAACCGCUUUCGCCUGUGACGAAGCGUGACUGACGGUAAUGGGUAAAGAAGCACCGGCUAACUUCGUG